rnacentral:tRNA from 1 species
GGUUGUUUGGCCGAGCGGUCUAAGGCGCCUGAUUCAAGCCUCAGGUAUCGUAAGAUGCAAGAGUUCGAAUCUCUUAGCAACCA